ACAGUCGAGCGGACAGAUGGGAGCUUGCUCCCUGAUGUUAGCGGCGGACGGGUGAGUAACACGUGGGUAACCUGCCUGUAAGACUGGGAUAACUCCGGGAAACCGGGGCUAAUACCGGAUGCUUGUUUGAACCGCAUGGUUCAAACAUAAAAGGUGGCUUCGGCUACCACUUACAGAUGGACCAGCGGCGCAUUAGCUAGUUGGUGAGGUAAUGGCUCACCAAGGCAACGAUGCGUAGCCGACCUGAGAGGGUGAUCGGCCACACUGGGACUGAGACACGGCCCAGACUCCUACGGGAGGCAGCAGUAGGGAAUCUUCCGCAAUGGACGAAAGUCUGACGGAGCAACGCCGCGUGAGUGAUGAAGGUUUUCGGAUCGUAAAGCUCUGUUGUUAGGGAAGAACAAGUGCCGUUCAAAUAGGGCGGCACCUUGACGGUACCUAACCAGAAAGCCACGGCUAACUACGUGCCAGCAGCCGCGGUAAUACGUAGGUGGCAAGCGUUGUCCGGAAUUAUUGGGCGUAAAGGGCUCGCAGGCGGUUUCUUAAGUCUGAUGUGAAAGCCCCCGGCUCAACCGGGGAGGGUCAUUGGAAACUGGGGAACUUGAGUGCAGAAGAGGACAGUGGAAUUCCACGUGUAGCG
rnacentral:rRNA from 1 species